AAAAAAAGAUAAAAAAACUACUUUCGUGAGCUGUGCUCAACCACCGAUUUAUCAGUGGCUCUACUACACUUCUAACUUUCUGUCAAAUUCGUGCACAAAAUUUAAAUAACACAACAACAACAAGUAACUUAGGAUUUACAGAGAGGGAAUUAGGAAGUUCUCGAUACACGGGGAAGGAGAAAAAAAAAAUUGGAAGGAAUUAAGGAAGCAAGGAUAAGGAAAGUAAGUAGGUGUAGGGGGUCAAACCAUCUUCACUAAUGUAGGUCAACAAAUAAUAGUGUACAGCACACACAACGCUGACCUUUGGGCUCCUUUAAUGUACCCCUAAGUGGCUCUGGUGGUGCGGGAACUGAAGUUGGUGUAGGCGUCCAAAGACAGGUCGAUAUCACGGCUGAACACGGCGACACAAACGAAGAACAUAAAUCGGGCAGCGACAACACGUAGAAAACAAGUUUGAAGUAAAAUCGGAACAGAUACGGCUCCCAAGUUUCACAUAUACGAAGAAGCUAAAAGAUUAUAUUGCUAUAGACACGGGACUAAAAGGUCCGCAUAAAGCGAUAUGGAAUACUACCCAAUUGAGGCAACC